rnacentral:rRNA from 1 species
AUACCAGCACCCCGAGUGGUCGGGACGAUUAUUGGGCCUAAAGCAUCCGUAGCCGGCCUUACAAGUCCUCCGUUAAAUCCAGCUGCUCAACAGACGGGCUGCGGAGGAUACUAUAAGACUAGGAGGGAGGAGAGGCAAGCGGCACUCAGUGGGUAGGGGUAAAAUCGGUUGAUCCAUUUAAGACCACCAGUGGCGAAGGCGGCUUGCCAGAAUGCGCUCGACGGUGAGGGAUGAAAGCUGGGGGAGCAAACCGGGUUAGAUACCCGGGUAGUCCCAGCUGUAAACGAUGCAGACUCGGUGAUGGACUAGCUUUAUGCUGGUCCAGUGCCGCAGGGAAGCCGUUAAGUCUGCCGCCUGGGUAGUACGGUCGCAAGACUGAAACUCAAAGGAAUUGACGGGG